GCCACUUCCCCAGCUCUCCUCCUCCUUCGCCUCCUCCUCCUCCUCCACUCCCCCCCCUUUAUUACCCUUUGUGUCAUCCUCCAGAGCUCCAGGGAAGGCACUCAAAAGUGGGGGGCAGGAAAGGAACAAGGUUGAUCUGGGCAUGAAGUUAAACAGGAUAUUGCUUUCAUCUACUUCAGCCAAAUCUCAAAGUCACUGACCUAAGAAAGACCUCCCCAUCUACUUUGAUAAAAAGCAGAGUUGAAAAUGCUUAGAAGUCAUCCCUUCUGCGGACAUUCUCCGAUCUUUUCAUUUUGCAUUAGGUGUACCUCCUCUGUGAACAUCUGUAGUAUCCUGUGCAUACUCAGAUGCUUAUUGAAGAUAUCAGUUUCCGCGUAUGGGAAGUAGAUAUUGAAGGGUAUAUGGUUUACAGACAAGAUCUUUAAAAAAUAGACACUCAAGGACCAAGGAAAUAUAUACCAGAAGCCAAGAGCACAGAAUAUUUUUCUUCAUCAAUCUGUAGAACUGUGAUACUCCUCUAAUUCCAUCAAACACAAAGGAAUGAUCACCUUGGCAGAUGGCCACAGAGGAUGUCAACAAUUUUUUGGA